AUGCUAGUCGCACGAGUUCAGACUCGUGGCGAAUAGCUCAGUAACACGUGGCCAAACUACCCUUCGGAGCACGAUACCCUCGGGAAACUGAGGCUAAUAGUGCAUACCACAAUCCAGCUGGAAUGAGGAUUGUGCCAAACGCUCCGGCGCCGAAGGAUGUGGCUGCGGCCGAUUAGGUAGACGGUGGGGUAACGGCCCACUGUGCCAAUAAUCGGUACGGGUCAUGAGAGUGAGAACCCGGAGACGGAAUCUGAGACAAGAUUCCGGGCCCUACGGGGCGCAGCAGGCGCGAAACCUUUACACUGCACGCCAGUGCGAUAAGGGAAUCCCAAGUGCGCAGGCAUAGAGCCUGCGCUUUUGUCCACCGUAGGGAGGUGGACGAAUAAGGGCUGGGCAAGACCGGUGCCAGCCGCCGCGGUAAUACCGGCAGCCCGAGUGAUGGCCGAUCUUAUUGGGCCUAAAGCGUCCGUAGCUGGCCGCGCAAGUCCAUCGGAAAAUCCACCCGCUCAACGGGUGGGCGUCCGGUGGAAACUGCGUGGCUUGGGACCGGAAGGCGCGACGGGUACGUCCGGGGUAGGAGUGAAAUCCCGUAAUCCUGGACGGACCGCCG
rnacentral:rRNA from 1 species